rnacentral:rRNA from 1 species
UGGGGAAUCUUCCGCAAUGGACGAAAGUCUGACGGAGCAACGCCGCGUGUAUGAUGAAGGUCUUCGGAUUGUAAAGUACUGUCAUUGGGGAAGAACGGUUUUCUUGAAAAGAUUGAGAAGACAUGACGGUACCCAAGGAGGAAGCCCCGGCUAACUACGUGCCAGCAGCCGCGGUAAUACGUAGGGGGCAAGCGUUGUCCGGAAUUAUUGGGCGUAAAGGGCGCGUAGGCGGGCCUUUAAGUCCGGUGUGAAAGAUCAGGGCUCAACCCUGAGAGUGCAUCGGAAACUGGAGGCCUUGAGGACAGGAGAGGAAAGUGGAAUUCCACGUGUAGCGGUGAAAUGCGUAGAUAUGUGGAGGAACACCAGUGGCGAAGGCGACUUUCUGGACUGUAACUGACGCUGAGGCGCGAAAGCGUGGGGAGCAAACAGGAUUAGAUACCCUGGUAGUCCACGCCGUAAACGAUGAGUACUAGGUGUAGGAGGUAUCGACCCCUUCUGUGCCGCAGUUAACACAAUAAGUACUCCGCCUGGGAAGUACGAUCGCAAGAUUAAAACUCAAAUGAAUUGACGGGGUCAUAGCUGUUUCCU